AUUGAACGCUGGCGGCAGGCCUAACACAUGCAAGUCGAACGAGUGGCGGACGGGUGAGUAAUGUCUGGGAAACUGCCUGAUGGUGGGGGAUAACUACUGGAAACGGUAGCUAAUACCGCAUACCAUCAGAUGUGCCCAGAUGGGAUUCGCUUGUUGGUGGGGUAACGGCACACAAAGGCGACGAUCCGUAGCUGGUCUGAGAGGAUGACCAGCGACACUGGAACGGAGACGCGGUCCAGACACCUACGGGAGGGAGCAGUGGAGAAUAUUGCACAAUGGACGGAAGGCUAGUGCAGCCAUGCCGAGUGUAUGAAGAAGGGCUUGGGGUUGUAAAGUGAUUUCAGCGGUGAGGCGUUACUCGCAGAAGAAGCACCGGCUAACUCCGUGCCAGCAGCCGCGGUAAUAC
rnacentral:rRNA from 1 species